CCUACGGGUGGCAGCAGUGAGGAAUAUUGGUCAAUGGACGAGAGUCUGAACCAGCCAAGUAGCGUGAAGGAUGACUGCACUAUGGGUUGUAAACUUCUUUUAUAUGGGAAUAAAAUGUUCCACGUGUGGGAUUUUGUAUGUACCAUAUGAAUAAGCAUCGGCUAACUCCGUGCCAGCAGCCGCGGUAAUACGGAGGAUCCGAGCGUUAUCCGGAUUUAUUGGGUUUAAAGGGAGCGUAGGUGGAUUGUUAAGUCAGUUGUGAAAGUGUGCGGCUCAACCGUAAAAUGGCAGUUGAAACUGGCAGUCUUGAGUACAGUAGAGGUGUGCGGAAUUCGUGGUGUAGCGGUGAAAUGCUUAGAUAUCACGAAGAACUCCGAUUGCGAAGGCAGUUCACUGGACUGCAACUGACACUGAGGCUCGAAAGUGUGGGUAUCAAACAGGAUUAGAUACCCCUGUAGUC
rnacentral:rRNA from 1 species